GCACAUCCGGUGGCGGUCAUUUGACAAAUGUUCCUAAUAGGACAUGAAGAGUUUAAGAUGUAUGCAUCAGUUGCAGGCUCCUUCACGCGACCCAUGAAACUAGAGCAUGGCAACACCUCUAUCCAACAAACUCAUUGAAGUUAAUAAGACCUCCAUUGUUCGCACCGCUUUACUCAAGUAUUUCUUCAUUGUGCGAAUAAAACUAUUUCUAUGUUACUUUUUUAAGAAUGUAAGACAACUUAUAUGAAUUAGAGAAAAUAUUAAUAAGACCUUUGCUCAAAUUUUUUAAAAAAUAGUUGAAGUAUAUAUUUUUGGAAUUCAUGGCUUACAACAAUAAGGAAUGAAUUAACAUAUGAAAUGAUUAAUUCUAUUUUUUUCACAUAAUUUUAUAGAAAAAAAGGGAGAAGUUAAUGAUGUGCAUUUUCUAGUUGUGGUCAAUGAAGGAUGGGCAUUGUAUAAUGACUUCGACAUCUUUUUAGGUGUGAACAUCCUCUGUCAUAACCGUUGGAUGGUGGUGGGAGGCAAUUACCGCCUCCUAGUUUGCAUGGAACUUGAAGAUUUUUUCCCACUCCUGGGUAGCUAAUUGCUGUCGCAUUUGCACCCUAUUACAUCACCAUUGAGCUUAUUACCAAUGAACAAAUCCACAACACCAUGAUCUUCUUCUCCACUCCCAUUUUGUUCCAAGAAAUAUUCAAUUCUUUAUUUAAUUAGAACUUUACACUAUCUUUCAAUCAAAAGUUUGGGUUUUUUAUCGCUACAUGGUACUUGUAUAUUUAGUAAAAUGUUUAACUGUAAAUACAAGAUUUAAGAAUUUUUUAAGACAUUCUUAGUAAAUAAGAUGAUGAAUUCGUAACAGAAUUCCCCAGUCUCUUUCAACGCUAUUCAUCCUUUCCAAAAUUAUAAAUGCAAUACUAGAUAAAAAAAUGACAUGUUAAAUGUCAGUUUUCUUUAUCAAUACCAAUUUGUGUAAUACUUUUCAAUGAAAAUAUAAGGAAAUAUCAUCCUUUUCUUUUUCUACAAACUGUUACUAUCUCGUACAACUUUAAAAUCAUUUAUUUGACUAAAGGUAAAUGUAUAAUUUUAUUUGAAAUAAUAAGUUAUUCACUUUUUCGUUGUUCUUAUUUCCGAAGGCAUGUGGUAAUUCGAUUGUGUCCGGGUUAAAUUUGGGUUAUAGUUUUAGGAGCUUAGUAUUAUUAUUUUCUUUAUGCUAACUUUAGUUUUUAUUAUUUCUUCUAUUUUGUUUAUUAUUAGAAAUUCUAUCGUAUGCGUAUACUUGUGGAAAUUACAUAUUUACAAUAUGAAUGUUUUUAAAACUAGCAAACAAUAAAUAAUGAAAUGUAUGGUUCAAAACUAAAAAUAAUAACAAACUUUGUGAGAGAAAACAUUUUGUGUUAAAAAUCAAUUUUUUAGAAGUUUACUCAAGAAAUAUUAUUGAUGUAGUGGUAAAGAAUUUAUCUGUAGAUCCAUUAAACACAAGUUCCAAUCCCCAAACAUGGUAAAUUUAGUUCUUUUAACUAAAAACUAUAUAAAUGUAUGAAAAUAGAAAAUGGGCAUCAGAAUGAUAAUAAUAGUCAUUUAACUAAAUGGUUUAUAAGUCAUUCUCUAAGUUGUGACAAACCACAACCCAACGUGUGAAUGUGUUGGCUAAAACUCACGCAAAUAAAAUAUGUAGAGUUAAGUGCGGUAUCUGCAGGUGAACAUGUCAACUUGCAGUAUAGUUUUCUUUACAAUGAAAUACUUAUUAAGUAUUCCAAGGAUCGUAGCCAAGGGAUUAUUGAUUGUAGAAAAUGGCUAUUAAAUUAGUUACAGAAAUUAAGUACUAAUCUAGUCGAGUUACAAAUUAGUAGUGUAAAUCCAAAUCAAUAAUAUAAUUAACUAAUUAUUUUAACCGAAAACUAAAACUAACCCUAAGCUAAUUAUUCGUUUCUCCUAUUCCUAAUUUCGACAACGUGAGCCUUCUAAGCCAAGAAUCAAUUUUAACCCUAAUUAUUAAUUAAGUAAACAAGAACCUUUAAUUAAGUAUUUACAAAUCUUAGCUAAGAAUACCCUCCCGGUUUCAUCUUCACUAAGAAUUACCUCCUAAGAAUAAAGGAACGAAAAUGCUGAUAAAUUAAUCAAUGUAAUGAAGGAGUUUCGAAACAUCCUCCACUAGCGAUCUACAAACAUCGAAAUAGGAUUUUCUAGUUUAACCAAACGUAAUAAAAACUAAACUAAAAUCUAAUGAAAGCAAAAAAAAAAAAAAAAAACUAAAUUGAAAGUAUCAAUGAUUUUGUGAUGGCUCCCCUUGGCUACUCUUUUAAUGUGGUUAUGAUGUGACUUAUAAAGGCUAAACUAAGAGGAAUAGGUAAACCUAAAAUACCGUUGUAGUAAUUAAAUUUUGACUAGGAAAAGAAACCCCUUUGGUUGUCUACACGUACUUGCCUAAAUUCCGGGGCACCGAAGUGCAAAUAGGGGCACAAAUGUGCAUUGAGGGGCACUUCUUCAUUUUUGUAUGCACAUUAAAAUUCAUUUCUUUCACAUGUAAAUUGAAUAGAAUUUCAAUGAAAUAGUACUAAUAAGCUAUUCUCAGUUUCAUAUAUAUAUAUAUAUGCGUAAAUAAUUGCAACUCUCAUUGUUAUAUAAAUAAGCAAAGAAAUUUCAAAUAUAUAUAUCAAUCAAUUAACUAGAAAACAACAAUAACUUACAAGUGAAUUACAUUGAGAAACAAUCAUUAAAAACUUACUUCUUGUUUAAAGGUCAAAAUAUUACCUUUACUUUUUUCCUCCUCAAGGUCAAUAUGAUUGGAUUCUAUUAACAUUUAUUAAAUCUAUAAGAAAAUAUUGUUACCCUCAUUUUUGGACUGUUGUAGAAAAUGUAUACUAUGACUUCCACCAUAAUCAGCAGUCAAAAUGUCUGUAACGCCCCAAAAAUCCCUUAUACAUUUAUUUUUGUAUGUUUGUGACACAAAUAUCUAUUAAAUUUAGUGGUUAUGUGUUCUGGGAGUGUUUAGGAGGUCUUAAGUUCAAGUCUUGGCUUGGGCAAAUUUUUGUUUUUAAAUGAAUAAACCUUUAUCCCUAGUCAGUAGGCUGUUAAAUAAAUGUUGGUAAAAUAUGUCAGAUUGGGCUGUUGGUCUAGUGGUUAAGUGGAGUGCUAAUGUUGCAGGAGGUUUGGAGUUUGAGUCCCUGCAUGGGUAAAGGGGAUAAUUUUUGCUCUUUGUUUCGGCAAGAGGUUGUUUUGAUUGGGUUUCUGUGUAGUAGUGGCGUGGUGGAGGAGUGUUGGAGUGAUUUUAGGAGGAAAAUAUGAUAUUGGAGUGUUGGACUGAUUUUAGGAGGAAAACAUGGGAUUAUGGAGUUAUCCCGAUUUCGGCUCUCACCUCUCUUUCUCCAAAUUUCAGUCAUUUGGCAUAGUUUCUUUCUCUUUUCUUUUUGCUCUACCAUUUCUCCUCUGUUGCUGCCAACUUUCCAUUCAUUUUUCCUCUAAUUACUGUGCUGAAAUCUAUCUCUUCCUACUUUAUUCACUGUCGAUUUCCUUUGUAUUACCUUCCGUCUUCUUCUUUUUUCUUUUGUGUUGAAUAUCAACUUCGUAAUUUCGUCCCUCCUAUAUCGUUCGUAUGUUAUUGGUAAGUUGGUGAGUUUCGGCCUUAAUGUUUUAAACGUUUUCUGCUUAAAUGGUUAAAGAGGGGUUUUGCAUUUGGUGCUACGAACUAAUCAAGGGGUUGUUGAUCAUCCAUUGACAUUCUAGGCGUGUGGAAUUCCUAUGCUUGUUCGAGGGUAAGGUUUCUGACAACUAUUUGUUGAAUAACUCAUGGUAAUUUCAUUUAAGGUCUAUUGGUAUCACUAAAUUGGGCUUUGGCUUAUCGAUUUAGGUUCUAGAGUAUUCCUAGUGGAGUUAGCAAUGAAAUCGUAUCAGGUGUGUAAUCACAUCACUAAAAACACUAGUUGGUGAAAAGCUGAAUAAUGGGACUAUCUACGACACACGAGCUUGGGACCGCUCAUGUGGUAGGCCAUGUAACCGAGCACGGGCAUGAGAUUGAUGAGGCAGGCCGUGUGCGAUUCAUGGGUAGGGCCGAUUUGGGUCGUGUGUGCCUCAUGGGCGCGUGGGCCCACAUGGGUGAACCACACAUGCUUCUGAAAUUUAUUGUGCCAAGGCCAUUUUGGGUUGUGUGGGCCUACAUGGGCUUACAACAUUUGCCUAUGGGCCCAUUUUCAUUGUUUGACUACUAAGGUUGCACGGGUCGCCCAAAUCGACUGUGAACCUACUGUAGGGUCUGUAAGUUUACCUAGACCCCUAAUUGACUGAAAUGAUUGAAAAGACUGUUUUAUGCCUAUAUGAGAUAGAUAUGUAUGUCUGUAUGAUGAGCAUGAAAAUACCCUAUACUAAUUAUACAUGAUAUCAUGACAUGUUUUUAUGAUGUAUUGCAUUAGGUGGGGAAUUGAUAUUGAUUGGAGGAAGUGUACUGAAAGGCUUCAAGCCUAACUUACUGGAAGCUUAACUACAACAACUGUCUAGUGCCGCAUUCGGUACUAUUUGGAGUGUAGGGAUGGGUGGGUUGAUUAUAUCCCCACAUGGAGUGUAGGGUUGGACGGAGAUAGAGUGUAGAGGCUAUUUGGGUAGGAUUUUUUAAUUGCAUAACUGUCAUUGUGACUGUACUGUGAUGGGCUAAGGCCAUAAUGCUUACUGAUACUGAAAAGGGCUCUGGCCCAAACUGAGAUUAUUUGUUAUUAUUAGUUUGUUUGCAUGGGGAUUACACACUGAGUUUACGUAAACUUUCCCCUUCUGUUUAAUCUGUACAGGUAAUCCCUAGACAUAGGCGGAUCAGUACGGCGAAGGACCCAGCGGUGGUCACACAACUCCUUUUUUGCUAUUUGAUACUUAUUUACGAUUUUUCAGUUUUAUUUUGGGAUAUUUUUCUAUAAUAAUGGCCUCUCUGGAUUUUUACCAAAAAUUUGGAUUUUAUACUAAUUUCUGUUUAUAUCUGCUAGAAGUAGGUAAAACUCAGGCUUUCAAAAGAGAUGAAUGUUUUAUCAAAAUACCAUGUACAAGCAAAUUAUUUUUAAAAAUCUUCCGCAAAGUAUAUCAUUUUAGAAAUGAAUCACGAUUCUAGAAUUAAUGAAAGAUAAUGAUAAGUUCAAAAUUGAAAACGAUUUUAGCAAUGAUAUGGUUUUCAAAUGCACUUUCAUGUGACAUUGCCAGAUUCAGCCAUAACAUCCAGGUCGGGUUUCGGGUGUUACAUUUAGUGAUAUCAAAGCCAGGUUGCAAAACUCGGACGUGGAUUUGGGUUUUAAAACUUUUUUUUAAAAGCACUAAUUUCUGAAUGAUUUGAAACAUUUUUACUAAAUGUGUCAUACACCAAGUCUCCGGUGUCGAUCCUGUAACUUCUCUGAAGCCUUUAUGUGUUUUAAACUGAAACUAAUUUGAUACUGAAACUACUAUAGAUAGUACAAACUGAGAUAUCAAUAGGUAGACUGUACUGAACACACUCAGGUUAGCGUAUAUUGAUACUGUAGUAACACUGAUAAACACCGGUAGACACUGCGUCGUACGAAAACAAAUGUUACACAUUUGAUACUGUUUUCAUAAAAUAUCUGUUAAUAAACACUGGAACUGUAAACUGAUGCGUAAAAAUAUAAAUAUAGAUUAACACGAAUAGAUAAUGAGCACAAGAGAUACUCGCGGACAGGGUACAAGAGGACGUGGUAGACGCCGUAGAGGUGCUCGAGCUGGGUCCUCAUCUUCUAGCCACUUGCCUAAUUUAGAUACAAGUGAGACACCGGCUUCACCUAUGGUGGAGACUGAGUCUCAUUAUCGAGCGGUAGGGGAUGACGCACUAUCUCAAUCCAUGUUAAGGAUUCUAGAGAGGGUCGCUGGGCCCAGUACGGGAGCUAGAGUUCGCGAGUCGGUUAUGGAACGACUCUGGUCUAAUGGAGCUAAGCUUUUUAGGGGUAUUGCUAGAGCUACCUCUAAUGUGGCAGAAUACUGGAUUGAAGCCACACAGAGGAUUACGGAUGACCGGACUGCACCCUUGAGCAGAAUUUGAAGGGUGCUAUAUCGCUACUACGUGAUGAGGAGUAUCAGUGGUGGCUAAGUGUUAGGGAGGUCACUUAGCCCGAUCGACUGAUCUGGGAGUUCUUUAAGACCUCUUUCCAAUGGAAGUAUGUGGGGGCCAGUUACGUGGAUGCCCACAGGAGGGAGUUCUUAAAUCUGACUUAGGGAGGUAGAUCGAUGGCUGAGUAGGAGGCUGAAUUUUCGAGAUUGAGCCACUAUGCGCAAGGUAUGGUGGUGUAACACUUAGGUUUGUGCAAGUGUACACAGUCGUUAUCAAGUAAUAAGUAAGGGUUUCUUAGCAUUCGUGUGAGGUAAUAGGGACGUGUUAGGUUUCUUAACAUGCAUAUUUCAAUUAUACGUCCAUUAGUCGUCGUCUAGUUAGGAUCGCUCAGCUAAUUCAGGUGCAUUUCAAUCACGUAUGAAAGAAAUACAGACUUGAUUUUAGUUGAAAACAUGGUUGAUUGAGGCACAAACAUUAUAAGCAUGAAUCAAAUAAAUAUUAUUUAAUCAAAAUAAUCUUGCUAGCUUAAAUAAAUUUAAGCUAUCAUUGUUGUAAACAAGAAUAAAGAACACAUAGCAAACAUCUUUAAAUUAAAUUUAAAGAAAAGAAAGAUUAAACCCAAUUCAGGGUAGCUGUCACCCAAGACUCUGACUGACGAGGCUCUUUCGCUUCUUUGCGUUGCUCCUUUGCUGAUGGAUCUCCAAGGCGGCUGACCAAGGGUUCUUUAAGAGGCUAAAUUGCUAAAAUCCUUACGCAAGGAUGAUGAAAGGGGAUGAUAACUAAAAGAGUUGAGAGAAUGAUGAAUGAGUGAGAGAUGAUGGGAUAAGGGAUGAUUGAAAAUGUGAGAAAUCAGCUCCUACUUAUAGGUGAGGCAAGGGAUCUAGUUUGUUAAAAAUAGGAGUGUCCAUCCUUUGAAACUUCCCCCAAGAGUGGCCGGCCAUGAAUUGAUGAAAGGUGGCUGAUUUUUCCUUGGUUUUUGGUCAAUUUGAGAGCCACAACAACUCAAGGCUAAGACUUGAUCAUCAGCAAAUCUUCGGGAAAAUAUCUGAUUUCUUUAACUCUUUAACUCAUCAGCAAAGGUGGCUGAUUUUUCCUUGGGAGAAAUUAACGAUGUGCAUUUUCUAAUUGUGGUCAAUGAAGGAUGGGCGUUGUAUAAUGACUUCGACAUCUUUUUAGGUGUGAACAUCCUCUAUCAUAACCGUUGGAUGGUAGUGGGAGGCAAUUACCGCCUCCUGGUUUGCAUGGAACUUGACGAUUUUUUCCCAGUCCUGGGUAGCUAAUUGGUGUCGUAUUUGCACCCACUUCAAUCACCAUUAAGCUUAUUACCAAUGAACAAAUCCACAACACCAUGAUCUUCUUCUCCACUCCCAUUUUGUUGCAAGAAAUACACAAUUCUUUAUUUAAUUAAGACUUUACACUAUCUUUCAAUUAAAAGUUUGGGUUUUUUAUCGCUUCAUGGUACUUGUAUAUUUAGUAAAUGUUUAACCAUAAAUACAAUAUUUAAGAAUUUUUUAAGACAUUUUUCAUAAAUAAGAUGAUGAAUUCAUAACAGAAUGCCCCAGUCUCGUUCAAUGCAAAUCUUGCUUUCCAAAAUUAUACAUGCAAUACUAGAUAAAAAAAAGACAUGUCAAAUGUGAGUUUUCUUUAUCAACUAUUAAUUUGUGUAAUAUUUUUCAAUGAAAAUAUAAGGAAAUCUCAUCCCUUUCUUUUUCUACAAACUGUUACUAUCCCGUACAACUUUAAAAUCAUUUAUUUGACUAAAGGUAAAUGUACAAUUUUAUUUGAAAUAACAAGUUAUUCACUUUUUCGUUGUUCUUAUUUCCUAAAGCAUGUGGUAAUCCAAUUGUGUCCGGGUUAAAUUUGGGUUAUAGUUUUAGGAGCUUACUAUUAUUAUUUUCUUUAUGCUAACUUUAUUUUUUUAUUAUUUCUUUUAUUUUUUUUAUUAUUAGAAAUUCUAUCGUAUGCGUCUACUUGUGGAAAUUACAUAUUUACAAUAUGAAUGUUUUUAAAACUAACAAACAAUAAAUGAUGAAAUGUAUGGUUCAAAACUAAAAAUAAUAACAAACUUGGUGAGAGAAAACAUUUUGUGUUAAAAAUCAAUUUUUUAGAAGUUUAUUCAAGAAAUAUUAUUGAUGUAGUGGUAAAGAAUUUGUUUGUAGAUCCAUUAAACACAAGUUCCAAUCCCCAAACAUGGUAAAUUUAGUUCUUUUAACUAAAAACAAUAUAAAUUUAUGAAAAUACAAAAAGGGCAUCAGAAUGAUAAUAAUAGUCAUUUAACUAAAUGGUUUAUAAGUCAUUCCCUAAGUUGUGACAGACCACAGCCCAACGUGUGAAUGUGUUGGCUAAAAAUCACGCAAAUAAAAUAUGUAGAGUUAAUGCGGUUUCUGCAGGUGAACAUGUCAACUCGCAAUAUAGUUUUCUUUGCAAUGAAACACUUAUAAAGUAUCUCAAGAAUCGUACCCAAGGGAUUAUUGAUUAAAGAAAAUGGCUACUAAAUUAAUUACAGAAAUUAAGUACUAAUCUAGUCGAGUUACAAAUUAGUAGUGUAAAUCAAAAACAAUAAUAAAAUUAACUAAUUACUUUAACCGAAAAAUACAACUAACCCUAAGUUAAUUAUUUGUUUUUCUUAUUCCUAGUUUCGACAACGUGAUCCCUCUCAGCCAAGAAUCAAUUUUAACCCUAAUUAUUAAUUAAGUAGACGAGAACCUUUAAUUAAGUAUUUACCAACCUUCGCUAAGAAUACCCUCCCGGUUUCAUCUUCAUUAAGAAUUACCACCUAAGAUGCCCUUUCGGUCUUACCUAAGCAUACGGAUACCCUUUCUACUCAACAAGAUGCCCACCCGGCUCACUUGUCUAGAUCUUCUACUAUGGGUGUCACUUCCUAGUAUAUUAAGUACUUUCGAAUAGAAAGUCAAUUUUAGGUUACCAUUUAUUUAAUCAUUAAUUAACGAAAUAAUCAAGCCAUUCAAAAUAAGUAUGAAUCCCAAAAUACAUUCCAAUACUUAUAUAGACAUUCAAUUAAUAAAACUAUCAAAUGCAAUAUGAAUAGAAGAAUAAAGGGACGAGAAUGCUUUUUAAUUAAUCAUUGAAAUCGCACUAUUUCAAAACAUCCUUUGCUCACGAUCGACUAACUUUGAGAGACAAGCAUGUAUUGGUCCAUUAAUAAAUUAGUUAGAGGCUAAGAGGUAAUAGCUGGUAAUUAAUAGCUAACUUGAUAAAAUUUGAGUUCUGAAGUUAAUUAGGAACACUGAAAUGAAUUAAUCUUAUGCCUGGUUAAUUGAAUUUAAUUUCGAUUGUUAAAAUUGAUUCUCUUUAAUUUUUGUUAAUUUAUGUUACUUUGAUUGAUUGCCUUUAAUUGAGUUUUUGGUAAUACAAUACUAGAUUACUACUAUUUAGCUCGGUUAGUGUAGAAUAUUAGUCUUGGUUCAAUUCAACCUCCCUUAGGUUUGAUCCUCGGAAUAGAUCCCAAAGUGUUUCGUUGUAACAUUAUUCUAAAUUACAAUUUAAUUCGUAUACUUGUUGACACACUACAUUAUUAAUUGGCUCUUUAGCUGCAGUAUUUUCAACCCAGACGUUCGUACAUUUGGUGGAGGUCAUUUGCCAAAUGUUCCGAAUAGGACAUGAAGAGUUUAAGAUGUACGCAUCAGUUGCAGGCUCCAUCGCGCGACCUAUGAAACUAGAGCAUGGCAACACAUGUAUCCAACAAACUCAUUGAAGUUAAUAAGACUUCCAUUGUUCACAUUGCUUUACUCAAGUAUUUCUUCAUUGUGCAAAUAAUACUAUUUCUAUGUUUCUUUUUUAAGAAUGUAAGACAACUUAUAUGAAUUAGAGAAAAUAUUAAUAAGACAUUUGCUCAAAUUUUUUAAAAAAUAGUUGAAGUAUAUAUUUCCGAAAUUCAUGGCUUACAACAAUAAGGACUGAAUUAACAUAUGAAAUGAUUAAUUCUAUUUUUUUACAUAAUUUUAUAGAAAAAAAGGGAGAAGUUAGUGAUGUGCAUUUUCUAGUUGCGGUCAAUGAAGGAUGGGCGUUGUAUAUUGACUUCGACAUCUUGUUAGGUGUGAACAUCCUCUGUCAUAACCGUUGGAUUGUGGUGGGAGGCAAUUACCACCUCCUGGUUUGCAUGGAACUUAAAGAUUUUUUCCUAGUCCUAGGUAGCUAAUUGGUGUCGCAUUUGAACCUCUUCCAUCACCAUUGAGCUUAUUACCAAUGAACAAAUCCACAACACCAUGAUCUUCUUCUCCACUCCCAUUUUGUUCCAAGAAAUAUACAAUUCUUUAUUUAAUUAGAACUUUACACUAUCUUUCAAUCAAAAGUUUGGGUAUUUUAUCGCUUCAUGGUACUUGUAUAUUUAGUAAAAUGUUUAACCAUAAAUACAGGAUAUAAGCAUUUUUUAAGACAUUUUUAGUAAAUAAGAUUAUGAAUUCAUAACAGAAUUCCCAGUCUCUUUGAACGCUAUUCUUCCUUUCCAAAAUUAUACAUGCAAUACUAGAUAAAAAAAUUACAUGUCAAAUGUCAGUUUUCUUUAUCAACUACCAAUUUGUCUAAUAUUUUUCAAUGAAAAUAUAAGGAAAUCUCAUCCCUUUCUUUUUUUACAAACUGUUACUAUCCCGUCAAACUUUAAAAUCAUUUAUUUGACUAAAGGUAAAUGUACAAUUUUAUUUGAAAUAUUAAGUUAGUCACAUUUUCGUUGUUCUUAUUUCCUAAAGCAUGUGGUAAUCCGAUUGUGUUCGGGUUAAAUUUGGGUUAUAGUUUUAGGAGCUUACUAUUAUUAUUUUAUUUAUGCUAACUUUAGUUUUUAUUAUUAUUAGAAAUUCUAUCGUAUGCGUAUACUUGUUGAAAUUACAUAUUUACAAUAUAAUGUUUUUAAAACUAACAAACAAUAAAUAAUGAAAUGUAUGGUUCAAAACUAAAAAUAAUAAUAAACUUGGUGAGAGAAAACAUUUUGUGUUAAAAAUCAAUUUUUAGAAGUUUACUCAAGAAAUAUUAUUGAUGUAGUGGUAAAGAGUUUGUCUGUAGAUCCAUUAAACACAAAUUCCAAUCCCCAAAUAUGGUAAAUUUAGUUCUGUUAAGUAUGACUCCUAUUUUCAGUCAAAUUUGAGAAAUAAUUUUUUAGUUAAACUCUGUUUAUUUCUUUCAGUCAAACACUGAUUGGUUGAGAUUAUUUUAUUAUUAUUGGACAUAUGAAUUUAGCCUAAAAUAGGCUCUUUUACAACCUUAGUAAAUACACCCAUUAGAGAUUAGAACUUAUAACACAUUUAGAGAAUUUUGUGUUUACGUUUUGAGAGUUCUUUGUUUUCGCAUUUUCGGGGUUUGGUUUUUAUCUCCAUCUUUUGUACUCUUCGUUCUUUUUCCAUUAUAGUAAAAUUAUCUUUGCCCGUGGUUUUUUAUUCUCUUUGGAGGGGUUUUUCCACGUUAAAUUUGUGUGUUCAAUUUCUCAAUAUAUUCCACUAUUUUUGUUACUUGUUGCUUUAAUCUGGACGAUCCCUAACAAGUUCUUUUAACUAAAAACUAUAUAAAUUUAUGAAAAUACAAAAAGGGCAUCAGAAUGAUAAUAAUAGUCAUUUAACUAAAUGGUUUAUACGUCAUUCCCUAAGUUGUGACAAACCACCGCCCUACGUGUGAAUAUGUGGGCUAAAAAUCACGCAAAUAAAACAUGUAGAGUUAAGUGCGGUAUCUGCAGGUGAACAUGUCAACUUGCAAGGGAAGUAUGUGGAGGCCAGUUAUGUGGAUGCCCAUAGGAGGGAGUUCUUAAAUCUGACUCAGGGAGGUAGAUCGAUGGCCGAGUAGGAGGCCAAAUUUUUAAGAUUGAGCCGCUAUGCGUGAGGUAUGGUGGUGUAACACUUAGGUUUGUGCAAGUGUACACAGUCGUUAUCAAGUAAUAAGUAAGUAUCGAGUUAUCGUCUCCACAAUGAUUGUAUUUGUGCUAAGUCACUUAAUUUGUACAAUUAUAAUUAACAAUUUGAUAAAUAAAAUCACAAUAUGGUUGAGAAGUGGUGAAUAAAAUAUAUUAAACUAAAUGCAAUGAUCCCUAAUGCCGGUUAUCCUAAGUAUGCAAACUAUAUGAUUGAAAUAGAUUUUAGUAAAACUAAACACAAUUUGCAACAAUUAUAACAUAAAUAAACUAGGACAAUUACUUUAAUUAAACUCAAUUUAUUAUCAACAUGCUUAAUAACAUUCGGAAAAACAAUCCAUGGCAACUCUAUCUUUGAUGAGUUUGGAAACCACAUUAGGUCCUUUCGAAAUCCUUUACUUAGUAAAUACGCAUUUUACUGAUCCUUAUUUACUAAGGGUUUCCUAGCAUUCGUGUGAGGUAACAGGGAUGUGUUAGGUUUGAAACAAUUUAAUCACACAAAUCUAAAAACUAUGCAGAUAAUAGAGCUUGGUUAGAGUUGUUAUGCAACCUACAAUUUAAUCGCGUUAGGAUCUAAAUUGAGCAUGCACAUUUCAUUUAUGCGUCCAUUAGUCGUCAUCUGGUUAGGAUCGCUCAGCUAAUUCAGGUGCUUUUCAAUCACGUAUGAACGAAAUACAGACUUGAUUUUAAUUGAAAACAUGUUUGAUUGAGGCACAAACAUUAUAAGCAUGAAUCAAAUAAAUAUUAUUUAAUGAAAACAAUCUUCCAGCUUAAAUAUAUUUAAGCUAUCAUUGUUGGAAAAAGGAAAAAAAAAACACAUAGCAAACAUCUUUAAAUUAAAUUUAAAGAAAAGAAAGAUUAAACCCAAUUCAGAGUGGCUCUCACCCAAGACUCUAACUGACGAGGCUGUUUCGCUUCUUUGCUUUGUUCCUUUGCUGAUGGCUCUCCAAGGUGGCUGACCAAGGGUUCUUUAAGAGGCUUAAGUGCUAAAAUCCUUAUGCAAGGAUGAUGAAAGGGGAUGAUAACUAAAAGAGUUGAGAAAAUGAUGAAUGAGUGAGAGAUGCCGUGAUAAGGGAUGAUUGAAAACGUGAGAAAUGAGCUCUAAUUUAUAAGUGAGGCAAGGGAGCUAGUUUGCUAAAAAUAGGAGUGUCCAUCCUUUGAAACUUCCUCCAAGAGUGGCCGGCCAUGAAUUGAGAAAAGGUGGCUGAUUUUUCCUUGGUUUUUGGUCAAUUUGAGUGCCACAACAACUCAAGACUAUGACUCGAUCACCAGCAAAUCUUCAGGCAAAUAUCUGAUUUCUUUAACUCUUUAACUCAUCAGCAAAAGUGGCUGAUUUUUCCUUGGGAGAAGUUAAUGAUGUGCAUUUUCUAAUUGUGGUCAAUGAAGGAUGGGCAUUUUAUAAUGACUUCGACAUGUUUUUAGGUGUGAACAUCCUCUGUCAUAACUGUUGGAUGGUGGUGGGAGGCAAUUAAUGCCUCCUGGUUUGCAUGGAACUUGAAGAUUUUUUCCCAGUCCUGGGUAGCUAAUUCGCAUUUUCACCCUUUCUUUUUCUACAAACUGUUACUAUCCCGUACAACUUUAAAAUCAUUUAUUUGACUAAAGGUAAAUGUACAAUUUUAUUUGAAAUAACAAGUUACUCACUUUUUCGUUGUUCUUAUUUCCUAAAGCAUGUGGUGAUCCGAUUGUUUCCGGGUUAAAUUUGGGUUAUAGUUUUAGGAGCUUAGUAUUAUUAUUUUCUUUAUGCUAACUUUAUUUUUUAUUAUUUCUUCUAUUUUUUUUAUUAUUAGAAAUUCUAUCGUAUGCGUCUACUUGUCUGUUGAUCCAUUAAACACAAGAAAUAUUAUUGAUGUAGACGUAAAGAAUUUGUCUGUAAAUCCAUUAAACACAAAAUCUAAUCCCUAAACAUGGUAAAUUUAGUUCUUUUAACUAAAAACUAUAUAAAUGUAUGAAAAUACAAAAAAAAAGGCCAACAAAAUGGUAAUAAUAGUCAUUUAACUAAAUGGUUUAUAAGUCAUUUCCUAAGUUGUGACAGAUGGUAGCCUAACGUGUGAAUGUUUCGGCUAAUAAUCACGCAAAUAAAAUAUGUAGAGUGAAUUACGGUAUCUGCAGGUAAGCAUGUCAAAUUGCAAUAUUGUUUUCUUUACAACAAAACACUUAUUCAGUAUUCUGAAGAUCGUUCCCAAGGGAUAUUGAUUGGAGAAAAUCGCUAUUAAAUUAAUUACAAAAAUUAAGUACUAAUCUAGUCGAGUUACAAAUUAGUAGUGUAAAUCCAAAACAAUAACAAAAUUAAGUAAUUAUUUUAACCGAAAACUAAAACUAACCCUAAGUUACUUAUUUGUUUCUCCUAUACCUAGUUUCGACAACGUGAGCCUUCUCAACCAAGAAUCAAUUUUAACCCUAAUUAUUAAUUUAGUAAACAAUAACCUUUAAUUAAGUAUUUACUAACCUUAGCUAAGAAUACCCUCUCGGUUUCAUCUUCACUAAGAAUUACCUCCUAAGAAUAAAGGGACGAGAAUGCUGAUAAAUUAAUCAAUGAAAUUAAGGAGUUUCGGAACAUCCUCCGCUCGCGAUCUACUAACAUCGGAAUAGGAUUUUCUAGGUUAACCGAACGUAAUAAAAACUAAACUAAAAUUGAAUGAAAGCAAAAAAAAAAAAGAAACUAAAUUGAAAGUAUCAAUGAUUUUGUGAUGGCUCCCCUUGACUACUCCUUUAAUGUGGUUAUAAUGUGACUUAUAAAGGCUAAACUAAGAGGAAUAGGUAAACCUAAAAUACCUUUGUAGUAAUUAAAUUUUAACUAGGAAAAGAAACCCCUUUGGUUGUCUACACGUACUCGCCUAUAUUCAGGGGCACCGAAGUGCAAAUAGGAAAACUUCUUUAUUUCUGUAUGCACAUUAAAAUUCAUUUCAUUCACAUGUAAAUUGAAUAGAAUUUCAAGAAAUAGUACUAAUAAGUUGUUCUAAGUUUCAUAUAUAUAUAUGCGUAAAUAAUUACAACUCUCAUUGUUAUAUAAAUAAGCAAAGAAAUUUCACAUAUAUAUAUCAAUAAAUUAACUAGAAAACAACAAUAAAUUACAAGUGAAUUACAUUGAGAAACAAUCAUUACAAACUUACUUCUUGUUUAAUAGUAAAAAUAUUACCUUUACUUUUUUCCUCAUCAUGGUCAAUAUGAUUAGAUUCUAUUAACAUUUAUUAAAUCUAUAAGAAAAUAUUGUUACCCUCAUUUUUAGACUGUUGUAGAAAAUGUAUACUAUGACUUCUACCAUAAUCAGCAGUCGAAAUGUCUGUAAAGCACCAAAAAUCCCUUAUACAUUUAUUUUUGUAUGUUUGUCACACAAAUAUCUAUCAGAUUUAGUAGCUAUGUGUUCUGGGUGUGUUUAGGUGGUCUUAAGUUCAAGCCUUGGCUUGGGAAAAUUUUUGUUUUUAAAUGAAUAAACUCUUAUCCCUAGUCAGUAGGCUUUUAAAUAAAUGUUGGUAAAAUAUGUCAGAAUGGGCCUGUUGGUCUAGUGGUUAAGUGGACUGCUAAUGUUGCAAGAGGUUUGGAGUUUGAUUCCUUGCAUGGGCAAAGGGGAUAAUUUUUGCUCUUUAUUUCAGCAAGAGGUUGUUUUGAUUGGGUUUCUGAGUAGUAGUGGUGUGGUGGGGGAGUGUUGGACUGAUUUUAGGAGGAAAACAUGGGAUUAUGGAGUUAUCCCGAUUUGGUGGACUGAUAAUUUUGGCUCUCACCUCUCUUUCGGACAUUUGGCAUAGUUUCUUUCUCUUUUCUUUUUGCUCUACCAUUUCUCCUCUAUUGCUGCCGACUUUCCUUUCAUUUUUCCUCUCAUUAUUGUGCUAAAAUCUAUCUCUUCCUACUUUAUUCUCUGUCGAUUUCUUUUGUAUUGCCUUCCGUCUUCUUCUUUUUGCUUUUGUGUUGAAUACCAACUCCGUAGUUCCGUCCCUCCUAUAUCGUUUGUGUGUUAUUGGUAAGUUGGUGAGUUUCGGCCUUAAUGAUUUAAAUGUUUUCUACUUAAAUGGAUAAAGAGGGGUUUUGCAUUUGGUGCUAGGAACUAAUCAAGGGGUUGUUGAUCGUCCAUCGACGUUCUAGGUGUGUGGAAUUCUUGUGCUUGUUCGAGGGUAAGGUUUUUAAUGGCUAUUUGUUGAAUAACUCGUGGUAAUUUCAUUUAAGGUUUAUUAGUAUCACUAAAUUUGGCUUUGGUUUAUCGAUUUAGAUUCUGGAGUACUCCUAGUGGAGUUACCAAUGAAAUCGUAUCAGGUCUAUAAUCACAUCACUAAAAAUGCUAGUCGAUGAAAAGCUGAAUAAUGGGACUAUCUACGACACACGAGCUUGGGACCGCUCAUGUGGUAGGCCAUGUAACCGAACACGAGCAUGAGAUCGAUGAGGUAGGCUGUGUACGAUUCAUGGGUUGGGCCGAUUUGGGCCGUGUGUGCCUCAUGGGCGCGUGGGUCAACACGGGUGAACAACACAUGCUUUUAAAAAUUAUUGGGCCAAGGCCAUUUUGGGUUGUGUGGGCCUAUAUCGGCUUGCAACAUGGGCUUGUACAACCAUUUUCAUUGUUUGACUACAAAGGUUGCACGGGUCGCCCAAAUCAAUUGUGAACCUACUGUAGGGUCGGUAAGUUUACCUAAACCCCUAAUUGACUGAAAUGAUUGAAAAGACUGUUAUAUGGCUAUAUGAGAUAGAUAUGUAUGUCUGUAUGAUGAGCAUGCUAAAUACCCUAUACUGAUUAUACAUGAUAUCAUGACAUGUCUUUAUGAUGCAUUGCAUUAGAUGGGGAAUUGAUAUUGAUUGGAGGAAGUGUACUGAAAGGCUUCAAGCCUAACUUACUGGCAGCUCAACUACAGCAACUGUCUAGUUCCGCAUUCGGUACUAUUUAGAGUGUAGGGAUGAGUGGUUGAUUAUAUCCCCACAUGGAGUGUAGGGUUGGACGGAGAUGGAGUGUAGAGGCUAUUUGGGUAGGAUUUUAUAAUUGCAUAACUGUCACUGUUACUGUACUGUGAUGGUCUAAGGCCAUAAUGCUUACUGAUACUAAAAAGGGCUCAGGCCCAAACUGAGAUUAUUUGUUAUGUUUGUUUGUUUGCAUGGGGAUUACACACUGAGUUUACGUUAACUUACCCCUUCUAUUUAAACUGUACAGGUACUCCCUAGACAUAGGCGGAUCGGUAUCGCGAAGGACUCAACGGUGGUCACACAACUCCUUUUAUGCUAUUUGAUACUUAUUUACGAUUUUAAAGUUUUAUUUUGGGAUAUUUUUCUAUAAUAAUGGCCUCUCUAGAUUUUUACCUAAAAUUUGGAUUUUAUACUAAUUUAUGUUUAUAUCUGCUAGAAGUAGGUAAAACUCGGGCUUUCAAAAGAGAUGAAUGUUUUAUCAAAAUACCACGUACACGUAAAUUAUUUUUAAAAAGCUUCCGCAAAGUAUAUCAUUUUAUAAAUGAAUCACGAUUCGAGAAUUAAUGAAAGAUAAUGAUAAGUUAAAAAUGGAAAACGAUUUUAGCAAUGAUACGGUGUUCAAACGCACUUUCAUGUGACAUCGCCAGAUUCAGCCAGAACAUCCAAGUGGGGUUUCGGGUGUUACAUUUAGUAAUAUCAGAGCCAGGUUGCAAAACUCGGAUGUGGAUUUGGGUUUUAAAACUUGUUUUUUUAAAAGCACUGAUUUCUGAAUUAUUUGAAACAUUUUUACUGAAUGUGCGAUACACCGAGUUUCCGGUGUCGAUCCUGUAAGUUCUAUGAAGCCUUUAUGUGUUUUAAACUGAAACUAAUUUGAUAUUGAAACUACUAUAGAUAGUACAAACUGAGACUACUAUAGGUAGACUGUACUGAAAACACUCAGGUUAGCGUAUACUGAUACUGUAGUAAAACUGAUAAACACUGGUAGACACUGCAACUCUAUCUUUCAUGAGUUUGGAAACCACAUUAGGUCCUUUCGAAAUCCUUUACUUAGUAAAUACGCAUUUUACUGAUCCUUAUUUACUAAGGGUUUCUUAGCAUUCGUGUGAGGUAAUAGGGACGUGUUAGGUUUGAAACAAUUUAAUCACACAAAUCUAAAAACUAUGCAGAUAAUAGAGCUUGGUUAAAGUUGUUAUGCAACCUACAAUUUAAUCGUGUUAGGAUCUAAAUUGAGCAUGCACAUUUCAAUUAUGCGUCCAUUAGUCGUCAUCUGGUUAAGAUCGCUCAGCUAAUUUAAGUGCAUUUCAAUCACGUAUGAACGAAAUACAGACUUGAUUUUAAUUGAAAACAUGGUUGAUUGAGGCACAAACAUUAUAAGCAUGAAUCAAAUAAAUAUUAUUUAAUCAAAAUAAUCUUCCUAGCCUAAAUAAAUUUAAGCUAUCAUUGUUGUAAAAAAGAAUAAAGAACACAUAGCAAACAUUUUUAAAUUAAAUUUAAAGAAAACAAAGAUUAAACCCAAAUCAGAGUGGCUGUCACCCAAGACUCUGACUGACGAGGCUCUUUUGCUUCUUUGCGUUGCUCCUUUAUUGAUGGCUCUCCAAGGUGGCUAACUAAGGGCUCUUUAAGAGUCUUAAUUGCUAAAAUCCUUAUUCAGGGAUGAUGAAAGGGCAAGAUUACUAAAAGAGUUGAGAGAAUGAUGAAUGAGUGUGAGAUGAUGGGAUAAGGGAUGAUAGUAAAAGUGAGAAAUGAGCUCUAAUUUAUAGGUGAGGCAAGGGCGCUAGUUUGCUUAAAAUAGGAGUGUCCAUCCAUUAAAACUUCCUCCAAGACUGGCCGGCCAUGAAUUGAGGAAAGGUGGCUGAUUUUUCUUUGGUUUUUGGUCAAUUUGAGUGCCACAACAACUCAAGAAUAAGACUCGACCAUCAAAAAAUCUUGGGAAAAUCUCUGAUUUCUUUAACUCUUUAACUCAUCAGCAAAGGUGGCAGAUUUUUCUUUGGUUUUUGGUCAAUUUGGUCAAUUUUUUUCACAUAAUUUUAUAGAAAAAAGGGAGAAGUUAAUGAUGUGCAUUUUCUAAUUGUGGUCAAUGAAGGAUGGGCGUUGUAUAAUGACUUCGACAUCUUUUUAGGUGUGAACAUCCUCUGUCAUAACCAUUGGAUGGUGGUGGGAGGCAAUUACCGAUUCCCGGUUUGCAUAGAACUUGACGGUUUUUUCCCAGUCCUGGGUAGCUAAUUGGUGUCGCAUCUGCACCCUCCUCUAUCACCAUUAAGCUUAUUACACAUGAACAAAUUCAAAACGCCAUGAUCUUCUUCUCCACUCCCAUUUUGUUCCAAGAAAUAUGAAAUUCUUUAUUUAAUUAAGACUUUACACUAUCUUUCAAUCAAAAGUUUGGGUUUUUUAUCGCUUCAUGCUACUUGUAUAUUUACUAAAAUGUUUAACCAAAAAUACAAGAUUUAAGCAUCUUUUAAGACAUUUUUGUAAAUAAGAUGAUGAAUUCAUAACAGAAUUCCCCAGUCUCUUUCAAUGCUAUUCUUUCUUUUCAAAAUUAUACAUGCAAUUCUAGAUAAAAAAAAAACCAACAUGUCAAAUGCGAGUUUUCUUUAUCAACUACCAAUUUGUGUAAUAUUUUCCAAUGAAAAUAUAAGGAAAUCUCAUCCCUUUCUUUUUCUACAAACUGUUACUAUCCCGUACAACUUUAAAAUCAUUUAUUUGACUAAAGGUAAAUGUACAAUUUUAUUUGAAAUAAUAAGUUAUUCACUUUUUCGUUGUUCUUAUUUCCUAAAGCAUGUGGUACUCCGAUUGUGUCCGGGUUAUAUUUGGGUUAUAGUUUUAGGAGCUUACUAUUAUUAUUUUCUUUAUGCUAGUUUUAGUUUUUAUUAUUUCUUCUAUUUUGUUUAUUAUUAGAAACUUUAUCGUAUGCGUAUACUUGUGGAAAUUACAUAUUUACAAUAUAAAUGUUUUUAAAACUAACAAACAAUAAAUAAGGAAAUGUAUGGUUCAAAACUAAAAAUAAUAAAAAACUUUGUGAGAGAAAACAUUUUGUGCUACAAAUCAAUUUUUUAGAAGUUUACUCAAGAAAUAUUAUUGAUGUAGUGGUAAAGAAUUUGUGUGUAGAUCCAUUAAACACAACUUCCAAUCCCUAAAUUUGGUAAAUUUAGUUCUUUUAACUAAAAACUAUAUGAAUGUAUGAAAAUACAAAAGGGCAUCAAAAUGACAAUAAUAUUGAUUUAACUAAAUGGUUUAUAAGCCAUUCCCUAAGUUCUGACAAACCGCAGCCCAACGUGUAAAUGUUUCGGCUAAAAAUCAUGUAAAUAAAAUAUGUAAACUUAAGUGCGGUAUCUGCAGGUGAACAUGUCAACUUGCAAUAUAGUUUUCUUUACAAUGAAACACUUAUUAAGUAUUUCGAGGAUCGUACCCGAGGGAUUAUUGAUUGGAGAAAUGGGUAUUAAAUUAAUUACAGAAAUUAAGUACUAAUCUAGUCGAGUUACAAAUUAGUAGUGUAAAUCCAAAACAAUAAUAAAAUUAACUAAUUAUUUUAACCGAAAACUAAAAGUAACCCUAAGUUAAGUAUUUGUUUCUCCUAUUCCUAGUUUCGACAACAUGAGCCUUCUCAGCCAAGAAUCAAUUUUAACCCUAAUUAUUAAUUAAGUAGACAAGAACCUUUAAUUAAGUAUGUACUAACCUUCGCUAAGAAUACCCUCCCAAUUUCAUCUUCAUUAAGAAUUACCACCUAAGAUUCCUUUUCGGUCUUACCUAAGCAUACGAAUACCCUUUUUUUCUCACUUCUAGGUACAAGUUCUACUCAAUAGGAUACCCUCUCAGUCUCACUUGUCUAGAUCUUCUACUAUAGGUGUCACUUCCUAGUAUAUUAAGUACUUUCGAAUAAAAACUCAAUUUUAGGUUACUAUUUAUUUAAUCAAUUAAUUAAUGAAAUAAUCAUGUCAUUCAAAAUAAGUAUGAAGCCCAAAAUACAUUCCAAUAUUUAUAUAAACAAUCAAUUAAUAAAACUAUCAAAUGCAAUAUAAAUGAAAGAAUAAAGGGACGAGAAUGCUCGUUAAUUAAUCAUUGAAAUGGCACAAUUUCAAAACAUCCUUCGCACGCGAUCAACUAACAUUGAGAGACAAGCAUGUAUUGGUCCAUUAAUUAAUUAGUUAGAGGCUAAGAGGUAAUAGCUGGUAAUUAAUAGCCAAUUUGAUAAAACCUGAGUUCUGAAGUUAAUUAGGAACACUGAAAAGAAUUAAUCUUAUGCCUGCUUAAUUGAAUUUAAUUUCGAUUGUUAAAAUUGAUUGUGUUUAAUUUUUGUUAAUUUAUGUUAUUUUGAUUGAUUGCCUUUGAUUUAGUUUUUGGUAAUAUAAUAUUAGAUUACUACUAUUUAGCCUGGUUAGUGUGGAAUAUUAGUCUUGGUUCAAUUCAACCUCCCUUGGGUACGAUCCUCGGAAUAGAUCCCAAAGUGUUUCCUUGUAACAUUAUUCUAUAUUACAAUUUAACUCGUAUACUUGUUGACACACUACAUUAUUAAUUGGCUCUUUAGCUGCGGUAUUUUCAACCCAGACGUUCGCACAUCUGGUGGCAGUCAUAUGGCCAAAUGUUGACAAUUGGACAUGAAGAGUUUAAGAUGUACCCAUCAGUUACAGGCUCCUUCGUGCGACCCAUGAAACUAGGGCAUGGGAACACCUAUAUCCAACAAACUCAUUGAAGUUAAUAAGACCUCCAUUGUUCACACCGCUUUACUUAAAACUAUUUCAAUGUCACUUUUUUAAGAACGUAAGACAACUUAUAUGAAUUAGAGAAAAUAUUAAUAAGACCUUUGCUCAAAUUUUUAAAAAAAUAGUUGAAGUAUAUAUUUCCGGAAUUCAUGGCUUACAACAAUCAGGAAUGAAUUAACAUAUGAAAUGAUUAAUUCCUUUUUUUCACAUAAUUUUAUAGAAAAAAGGGAGAAGUUAAUGAUGUGCGUUUUCUAGUUGUGGUCAAUGAAAGAUGGGCGUUGUAUAAUGACUUCGACAUCGUUUUAGGUGUGAACAUCCUCUGUCAUAACCGUUUGAUGGUGGUGGGAGGCAAUUACCGCCUCCUAGUUUGCAUGGAACUUGAAGAUUUUUUCCCAGUCCCGGGUAGCUGAUUGGUGUCGCGUUUGCACCCUCUUCCAUCACCAUUGAGCUUAUUACCAAUGAACAAAUCCACAACACCAUGAUCUUCUUCUCCACUCCCAUUUUGUUCCAAGAAAUAUACAAUUAUUUAUUUAAUUAGAACUUUACACUAUCUUUCAAUCAAAAGUUUGGGUUUUUUAUCGCUUCAUGGUACUUGUAUAUUUAGUAAAAUGUUUAACCAUAAAUACAAGAUUUAAGCAUUUUUUAAGACAGUUUUAGUGAAUAAGAUGAUGAGUUCAUAACAGAAUUCCCUAGUCUCUUUCAACGCUAUUCAUCCUUUCCAAAAUUAUACAUGCAAUACUAGAUAAAAAAAUGACAUGUUAAAUGUCAGUUUUCUUUAUCAACUACCAAUUUGAGUAAUAUUUUUCAAUGAAAAUAUAAGGAAAUCUCCUCCCUUUCUUUUUCAACAAACUAUUACUAUCCCGUACAACUUUAAAAUCAGUUAUUUGACUAAUGGUAAAUGUACAAUUUUAUUUGAAAUAAUAAGUUAUUCACAUUUUCGUUGUUCUUAUUUCCUAAAGCAUGUGGUAAUCUGAUUGUGUCCGGAUUAAAUUUGGGUUAUAGUUUUAGGAGCUUACUAUUAUUAUUUUGUUUAUGCUAACUUUAGUUUUUAUUAUUUCUUCUAUUUUGUUUAUUAUUAGAAAUUCUAUCGUAUGCGUAUACUUGUGGAAAUUACAUAUUUACAAUAUGAAUGUUUUUAAAACUAACAAACAAUAAAUAAUGAAAUGUAUGGUUCAAAACUAAAAAUAAUAACAAACUUUAUGAGAGAAAACAUUUUGUGCUACAAAUCAAUUUUUUAGAAGUUUACUCAAGAAAUAUUAUUGAUGUAGUGGUAAAGAAUUUGUUUGUAGAUCCAUUAAACACAAGUACCAAUCCCCAAACAUGGUAAAUUUAGUUCUUUUAACUAAAAACUAUAUAAAUGUAUGAAAAUACAAAAAAGGCAUCAGAAUGAUAAUAAUAGUCAUUUAACUAAAUUGUUUAUAAGUAAUUCCCUAAGUUGUGACAGACCACAGCCCAACGUGUUGAUGUGUUGGCUAAAAACCACGCAAAUAAAAUAUGUAGAGUUAAGUGCGGUUUCUGCAGGUGAACAUGUCAACCUGCAAUAUAGUUUUCUUUACAAUUAAACACUUAUAAAGUAUUUCGAGGAUCGUAUCCAAGGGAUUAUUGAUUAAAGAAAAUGGCUAUUAAAUUAAUUACAGAAAUUAAGUACUAAUCUAGUCGAGUUAUAAAUUAGUAGUAUAAAUCCAAAACAAUAAUAAAAUUAACUAAUUAUUUUAACCGAAAACUAAAAGUAACCCUAAGUUAAUUAUUUGUUUCUCCUAUUCCUAGUUUCGACAACGUGAUCCUUCACAGCCAAGAAUCAAUUUUAACCCUAAUUAUUAAUUAAGUAGACAAGGACCUUUAAUUAAGUAUGUACUAACCUUAGCUAAGAAUACCUUCCCGGUUUCAUCUUCAUUAAGAAUUACAACCUAAGAUUCCUUUUUGGUCUUACCUAAGCAUACGGAUACCCUUUUGUUCUCACUGCUUGGUACAAGUUCUACUCAAUUGGAUACCCUCUCAGUCUCACUUGUCUAGAUCUUCUACUAUAGGUGUCACUUCCUAGUAUAUUAAGUACUUUCGAAUAAAAACUCAAUUUUAGGUUACUAUUUAUUUAAUCAAUUAAUUAAUGAAAUAAUCAAGUCAUUCAAAAUAAGUAUGGAGCCCAAAAUACAUUCCAAUAAUUAUAUAUACAUUCUAUUAAUAAAACUAUCAAAUGCAAUAUAAAUGAAAGAAUAAAGGGACGAGAAUGCUCGUUAAUUAAUCAUUGAAAUGGCACUAUUUCAAAACAUCAUUUGCUCGCGAUCGACUAACUUUGAGAGACAAGCAUGUAUUGGUCCAUCAAUUAAUUAGUUAGAGGCUAAGAGGUAAUAGCUGGUAAUUAAUAGCUAACUUGAUAAAACCUGAGUUCUGAAGUUAAUUAGGAACACUGAAAUGAAUUAAUCUUAUGCCUGCUUAAUUGAAUUUAAUUUAGAUUGUUAAAAUUGAUUGUCUUUAAUUUUUGUUAAUUUAUGUUUUUUUGAUUGAUUGCCUUUGAUUUAGUUUUUGGUAAUAUAAUAUUAGAUUACUACUAUUUAGCCUGGUUAGUGUAGCAUAUUAGUCUUGGUUCAAUUCAACCUCCCUUGGGUACGAUCCUCGGAAUAGAUCCCGAAGUGUUUCCUUGUAACAUUAUUCUAUAUUACAAUUUAACUCGUAUACUUGUUGACACACUACAUUAUUAAUUGGCUCUUUAGCUGUUGUAUUUGAAACCCAGACGUUCGCAACUCUGGUGGCAGUCAUUUGGCCAAAUGUUGACAGUUGGACAUGAAGAGUUUAAGAUGUACCCAUCAGUUGCAGGCUCCUUCGUGCGACCCAUGAAACUAGGGCAUGGGAACACCUAUAUCCAACAAACUCAUUGAAGUUAAUAAGACCUCCAUUGUUCGCACCGCUUUACUUAAAACUAUUUCUAUGUCACUUUUUCAUGAACGUAAGACAACUUAUAUGAAUUAGAAAAAAUAUUAAUAAGACCUUUGCUCAAAUUUUUAAAAAAAUAGUUGAAGUAUAUAUUUCCGGAAUUCAUGGCUUACAACAAUCAGGAAUGAAUUAACAUAUGAAAUGAUUAAUUCCUUUUUUUCACAUAAUUUUAUAGAAAAAAGGGAGAAGUUAAUGAUGUGCAUUUUCUAGUUGUGGUCAAUGAAAGAUGGGCGUUGUAUAAUGACUUCGACAUCGUUUUAGGUGAGAACAUCCUCUGUCAUAACCGUUUGAUGGUGGUGGGAGGCAAUUACCGCCUCCUAGUUUGCAUGGAACUUGAAGAUUUUUUCCCAGUCCCGGGUAGCUAAUUGGUGUCGCGUUUGCACCCUCUUCCAUCACCAUUGAGCUUAUUACCAAUGAACAAAUCCACAACACCAUGAUCUUCUUCUCCACUCCCAUUUUGUUCCAAGAAAUAUACAAUUAUUUAUUUAAUUAGAACUUUACACUAUCUUUCAAUCAAAAGUUUGGGUUUUUUAUCGCUUCAUGGUACUUGUAUAUUUAGUAAAAUGUUUAACCAUAAAUACAAGAUUUAAGCAUUUUUUAAGACAUUUUUAGUAAAUAAGAUGAUGAGUUCAUAACAGAAUUCCCUAGUCUCUUUCAACGCUAUUCAUCCUUUCCAAAAUUAUACAUGCAAUACUAGAUAAAAAAAUGACAUGUUAAAUGUCAGUUUUCUUUAUCAACUACCAAUUUGAGUAAUAUUUUUCAAUGAAAAUAUAAGGAAAUCUCCUCCCUUUCUUUUUCUACAAACUAUUACUAUCCCGUACAACAUUAAAAUCAGUUAUUUGACUAAAGGUAAAUGUACAAUUUUAUUUGAAAUAAUAAGUUAUCCACAUUUUCGUUGUUCUAAUUUCCUAAAGCAUGUGGUAAUCCGAUUGUGUCCGAUUGUGUCCGGGUUAAAUUUGGGUUAUAGUUUUAGGAGCUUACUAUUAUUAUUUUGUUUAUGCUAACUUUAGUUUUUAUUAUUUCUUCUAUUUUGUUUAUUAUUAUAAAUUCUAUCGUAUGCGUAUACUUGUGGAAAUUACAUAUUUACAAUAUGAAUGUUUUUAAAACUAACAAACAAUAAAUAAUGAAAUGUAUGGUUCAAAACUAAAAAUAAUAACAAACUUUAUGAGAGAAAACAUUUUGUGUUAAAAAUCAAUUUUUUUGAAGUUUACUCAAGAAAUAUUAUUGAUGUAGUGGUAAAGAAUUUAUCUGUAGAUCCAUUAAACACAAGUACCAAUCCCCAAACAUGGUAAAUUUAUUUCUUUUAACUAAAAACUAUAUAAAUGUAUGAAAAUACGAAAAAGGCAUCAGAAUGAUAAUAAUAGUCAUUUAACUAAAUGGUUUAUAAGUAAUUCCCUAAGUUGUGACAGACCACAGCCCAACGUGUGGAUGUGUUGGCUAAAAACCACGCAAAUAAAAUAUGUAGAGUUAAGUGCGGUUUCUGCAGGUGAACAUGUCAACUUGCAAUAUAGUUUUCUUUACAAUGAAACACUUAUAAAGUAUUUCGAGGAUCGUACCCAAGGGAUUAUUGAUUAAAGAAAAUGGCUAUUAAAUUAAUUACAGAAAUUAAGUACUAAUCUAGUCGAGUUAUAAAUUAGUCGUAUAAAUCCAAAACAAUAAUAAAAUUAACUAAUUAUUUUAACCGAAAACUAAAAGUAACCCUAAGUUAAUUAUUUCUUUCUCCUAUUCCUAGUUUCGACAACGUGAGCCUUCUCAGCCAAGAAUCAAUUUUAACCCUAAUUAUUAAUUAAGUAGACAAGGACCUUUAAUUAAGUAUGUACUAACCUUAGCUAAGAAUACCUUCCCGGUUUCAUCUUCAUUAAGAAUUACAACCUAAGAUUCCUUUUUGGUCUUACCUAAGCAUACGGAUACCCUUUUGUUCUCACUGCUUGGUACAAGUUCUACUCAAUAGGAUACCCUCUCAGUCUCACUUGUCUAGAUCAUCUACUAUAGGUGUCACUUCCUAGUAUAUUAAGUACUUUCGAAUAAAAACUAAAUUUUAGGCUACUAUUUAUUUAAUCAAUUAAUUACUGAAAUAAUCAAGUCAUUCAAAAUAAGUAUGAAGCCCAAAAUACAUUCCAAUAAUUAUAUAAACAUUCUAUUAAUAAAACUAUCAAAUACAAUAUAAAUGAAAGAAUAAAGGGACGAGAAUGCUCGUUAAUUAAUCAUUGAAAUGGCAAUAUUUCAAAACAUCCUUUGCUCGCGAUCGACUAACUUUGAGAGAGAAGCAUGUAUUGGCCCAUCAAUUAAUUAGUUAGAGGCUAAGAGGUAAUAGCUGGUAAUUAAUAGCUAACUUGAUAAAACCUGAGUUCUGAAGUUAAUUAGGAACACUGAAAUGAAUUAAUCUUAUGCCUGCUUAAUUUAAUUUAACUUCGAUUGUUAAAAUUGAUUGUCUUUAAUUUUUGUUAAUUUAUGUUUUUUUGAUUGAUUGCCUUUGAUUUAGUUUUUGGUAAUAUAAUAUUAGAUUACUACUAUUUAGCCUGGUUAGUGUAGAAUAUUAGUCUUGGUUCAAUUCAACCUCCUUUGGGUACGAUCCUCGGAAUAGAUCCCGAAGUGUUUCCUUGUAACAUUAUUCUAUAUUACAAUUUAACUCGUAUACUUGUUGACACACUACAUUAUUAAUUGGCUCUUUAGCUACGGUAUUUUCAACCCAGACAUUCGCACAUCUGGUGGCAGUCAUUUGGCCAAAUGUUGACAAUUGGACAUGAAGAGUUUAAGAUGUACACAUCAGUUGCAGGCUCCUUCGUGCGACCCAUGAAACUAGGGCAUGGGAACACCUAUAUCCAACAAACUCAUUGAAGUUAAUAAGACCUUCAUUGUUCACACCGCUUUACUUAAAACUAUUUCAAUGUCACUUUUUUAAGAACGUAAGACAACUUAUAUGAAUUAGAGAAAAUAUUAAUAAGACCUUUGCUCAAAUUUUUAAAAAAAUAGUUGAAGUAUAUAUUUCCGAAAUUCAUGGCUUACAACAAUCAGGAAUGAAUUAACUUAUGAAAUGAUUAAUUCCUUUUUUUUCUCAUAAUUUUAUAGAAAAAAGGGAGAAGUUAAUGAUGUGCGUUUUCUAGUUGUGGUCAAUGAAAGAUGGGCGUUGUAUAAUGACUUCGACAUCGUUUUAGGUGUGAACAUCCUCUGUCAUAACUGUUUGAUGGUGGUGGGAGGCAAUUACCGCCUCCUAGUUUGCAUGGAACUUGAAGAUUUUUUCCCAGUCCCGGGUAGCUGAUUGGUGUCGCGUUUGCACCCUCUUCCAUCACCAUUGAGCUUAUUACCAAUGAACAAAUCCACAACACCAUGAUCUUCUUCUCCACUCCCAUUUUGUUCCAAGAAAUAUACAAUUAUUUAUUUAAUUAGAACUUUACACUAUCUUUCAAUCAAAAGUUUGGGUUUUUUAUCGCUUCAUGGUACUUGUAUAUUUAGUAAAAUGUUUAACCAUAAAUACAAGAUUUAAGCAUUUUUUAAGACAGUUUUAGUAAAUAAGAUGAUGAGUUCAUAACAGAAUUCCCUAGUCUCUUUCAACGCUAUUCAUCCUUUCCAAAAUUAUACAUGCAAUACUAGAUAAAAAAUGACUUGUUAAAUGUCAGUUUUCUUUAUAAACUACCAAUUUGAAUAAUAUUUUUCAAUGAAAAUAUAAGGAAAUCUCCUCCCUUUCUUUUUCUACAAACUAUUACUAUCCCGUACAACUUUAAAAUCAUUUAUUUGACUAAUGGAAAAUCAACAAUUUUAUUUGAAAUAAUAAGUUAUCCACAUUUUCGUUGUUCUUAUUUCCUAAAGCAUGUGGUAAUCCGAUUGUGUCCGGGUGAAAUUUGGGUUAUAGUUUUAGGAGCUUACUAUUAUUAUUUUCUUUAUGCUAACUUUUGUUUUUAUUAUUUCUUCUAUUUUGUUUAUUAUUAGAAAUUCUAUCGUAUGCGUAUACUUGUGGAAAUUACAUAUUUACAAUAUGAAUGUUUUUAAAACUAACAAACAAUAAAUAAUGAAAUGUAUGGUUCAAAACUAAAAAUAAUAACAAACUUUGUGAGAGAAAACAUUUUGUGCUAAAAAUCAAUUUUUUAGAAGUUUACUCAAGAAAUAUUAUUGAUGUAGUGGUAAAGAAUUUGUUUGUAGAUCCAUUAAACACAAGUUCCAAUCCCCAAACAUGGUAAAUUUAGUUCUUUUAACUAAAAACUAUAUAAAUCUAUGAAAGUACAAAAAGGGCAUCAAAAUGAUAAUAAUAGUCAUCUAACUAAAUGGUUUAUUAGUAAUUCCCUAAGUUGUGACAGACCACAGCCCAACGUGUGAAUGUGUUGGCUAAAAAUCACGCAAAUAAAAUAUGUAGAGUUAACUGCGGUUUCUGCAGGUGAACAUGUCAACUUGCAAUAUUGUUUUCUUUGCAAUGAAACACUUAUAAAGUAUUUCGAGGAUCGUACCCAAGGGAUUAUUGAUUAAAGAAAAUGGCUAUUAAAUUAAUUACAGAAAUUAAGUACUAAUCUAGUCGAGUUACAAAUUAGUAGUAUAAAUCCAAAACAAUAAUAAAAUUAACUAAUUAUUUUAACCGAAAACUAAAUGUAACCGUAAAUUAAUUAUUUGUUUCUCCUAUUCCUAGUUUCGACAACGUGAGCCUUCUCAGCCAAGAAUCAAUUCUAACCCUAAUUAUUAAUUAAGUACACAAGAACCUUGAAUUAAGAAUGUACUAACCUUAGCGAAGAAUACCUUCCCGGUUUCAUCUUCAUUAAGAAUUACAACCUAAGAUUCCUUUUCGGUCUUACCUAAGCAUACGUAUACCCUUUUGUUCUCACAGCUUGGUACAAGUUCUACUCAAUAGGAUACCCUCUCAGUCUCACUUGUCUAGAUCUUCUACUAUAGGUGUCACUUCCUAGUAUAUUAAGUACUUUCGAAUAAAAACUCAAUUUUAGGUUACUAUUAAUUUAAUCAAUUAAUUAAUGAAAUAAUCAAGUCAUUCAAAAAAAGUAAGAAGCCCAAAAUACAUUCCAAUAAUUAUAUAAACAUUCUAUUAAUAAAACUAUCAAAUGCAAUAUAAAUGAAAGAAUAAAGGGACGAGAAUGCUCGUUAAUUAAUCAUUGAAAUGGCACUAUUUCAAAACAUCCUUUGCUCGCGAUCGACUAACUUUGAGAGACAAGCAUGUAUUGGUCCAUUAAUUAAUUAGUUAGAGGCUAAGAGGUAAUAGCUGGUAAUUAAUAGCUAACUUGAUAAAACCUGAGUUCUGAAGUUAAUUAGGAACACUGAAAUGAAUUAAUCUUAUGCCUGCUUAAUUGAAUUUAACUUCGAUUGUUAAAAUUGAUUGUCUUUAAUUUUUGUUAAUUUAUGUUUUUUUGAUUGAUUGCCUUUGAUUUAGUUUUUGGUAAUAUAAUAUUAGAUUACUACUAUUUAGCCUUGUUAGUGUAGAAUAUUAGUCUUGGUUCAAUUCAACCUCCCUUGGGUACGAUCCUCGGAAUAGAUCCUGAAGUGUUUCCUUGUAACAUUAUUCUAUAUUACAAUUUAACUCGUAUACUUGUUGACACACUACAUUAUUAAUUGGCUCUUUAGCUGCGGUAUUUUCAACCCAGACAUUCGCACAUCUGGUGGCAGUCAUUUGGCCAAAUGUUGACAAUUGGACAUGAAGAGUUUAAGAUGUACACAUCAGUUGCAGGCUCCUUUAUGCGACCCAUGAAACUAGGGCAUGGGAACACCUAUAUCCAACAAACUCAUUGAAGUUAAUAAGACCUCCAUUGUUCGCACCGCUUUACUUAAAACUAUUUCUAUGUCACUUUUUUAAGAAUGUAAGACAACUUAUAUGAAUUAGAGAAAAUAUUAAUAAGACCUUUGCUCAAAUUUUUAAAAAAAUAGUUGAAGUAUAUAUUUCCGGAAUUCAUGGCUUACAACAAUCAGGAAUGAAUUAACAGAUGAAAUGAUUAAUUCCUUUUUUUUCACAUAAUUUUAUAGAAAAAAGGGAGAAGUUAAUGCUGUGCAUUUUCUAGUUUUGGUCAAUGAAAGAUGGGCGCUGUAUAGUGACUUCGACAUCGUUUUUGGUGUGAACAUCCUCUGUCAUAACCGUUUGAUGGUUGUGGGAGGCAAUUACCGCCUCCUGGUUUGCAUGGAACUUGAAGAUUUUUUCCCAGUCCCGGGUAGCUGAUUGGUGUCGCGUUUGCACCCUCUUCCAUCACCAUUGAGCUUAUUUCCAAUGAACAAAUCCACACCACCAUGAUCUUCUUCUCCACUCCCAUUUUGUUCCAAGAAAUAUACAAUUAUUUAUUUAAUUAGAACUUUACACUAUCUUUCAAUCAAAAGUUUGGGUUUUUUAUCGCUUCGUGGUACUUGUAUAUUUAGUAAAAUGUUUAACCAUAAAUACAAGAUUUAAGCAUUUUUUGUGACAUUUUUAGUAAAUAAGAUGAUGAGUUCAUAGCAGAAUUCCCUAGUCUCUUUCAACGCUAUUCAUCCUUUCCAAAAUUAUACAUGCAAUACUAGAUAAAAAAAAUGACAUGUUAAAAGUUAGUUUUCUUUAUCAACUACCAAUUUGAGUAAUAUUUUUCAAUGAAAAUAUAAGGAAAUCUCCUCCCUUUCUUUUUCUACAAACUAUUACUAUCCCGUACAACAUUAAAAUCAGUUAUUUGACUAAAGGUAAAUGUACAAUUUUAUUUGAAAUAAUAAGUUAUCCACAUUUUCGUUGUUCUUAUUUCCUAAAGCAUGUGGUAAUCCGAUUGUGUCCGAUUGUGUCCGGGUUAAAUUUGGGUUAUAGUUUUAGGAGCUUACUAUUAUUAUUUUGUUUAUGCUAACUUUAGUUUUUAUUAUUUCUUCUAUUUUGUUUAUUAUUAGAAAUUCUAUCGUAUGCAUAUACUUGUGGAAAUUACAUAUUUACAAUAUGAAUGUUUUUAAAACUAACAAACAAUAAAUAAUGAAAUGUAUGGUUCAAAACUAAAAAUAAUAACAAACUUUGUGAGAGAAAACAUUUUGUGCUAAAAAUCAAUUUUUUAGAAGUUUACUCAAGAAAUAUUAUUGAUGUAGUGGUAAAGAAUUUGUUUGUAGAUCCAUUAAACACAAGUUCCAAUCCCCAAACAUGGUAAAUUUAGUUCUUUUAACUAAAAACUAUAUAAAUCUAUGAAAAUACAAAAAGGGCAUCAGAAUGAUAAUAAUAGACAUUUAACUAAAUGGUUUAUAAGUAAUUCCCUAAGUUGUGACAGACCACAGCCCAACGUGUGGAUGUGUUGGCUAAAAAUCACGCAAAUAAAAUAUGUAGAGUUAAGUGCGGUUUCUGCAGGUGAACAUGUCAACUUGCAAUAUUGUUUUGUUUGCAAUGAAACACUUAUAAAGUAUCUCGAGGAUCGUACCCAAGGGAUUAUUGAUUAAAGAAAAUGGCUAUUAAAUUAAUUACAGAAAUUAAGUACUAAUCUAGUCGAGUUACAAAUUAGUAGUAUAAAUCCAAAACAAUAAUAAAAUUAACUAAUUAUUUUAACCGAAAACUAAAUGUAACCGUAAAUUAAUUAUUUGUUUCUCCUAUUCCUAGUUUCGACAACGUGAGCCUUCCCAGCCAAGAAUCAAUUUUAACCCUAAUUAUUAAUUAAGUAGACAAGAACCUUUAAUUAAGUAUGUACUAACCUUAGCUAAGAAUUCCUUCUCGGUUUCAUCUUCAUUAAGAAUUACCACCUAAGAUUCCUUUUCGGUCUUACCUAAGCAUACGGAUACCCUUUUGUUCUCACUGCUUGGUACAAGUUCUACUCAAUAGGAUACCCUCUCAGUCUCACUUGUCUAGAUCUUCUACUAUAGGUGUCACUUCCUAGUAUAUUAAGUACUUUCGAAUAAAAACUCAAUUUUAGGUUACUAUUUAUUUAAUCAAUUAAUUAAUGAAAUAAUCAAGUCAUUCAAAAUAAGUAUGAAGCCCAAAAUACAUUCCAAUAUUUAUAUAAACAUUCAAUUAAUAAAACUAUCAAAUGCAAUAUAAAUGAAAGAAUAAAGGGACGAGAAUGCUCGUUAAUUAAUCAUUGAAAUGGCACUAUUUCAAAACAUCCUUUGCUCACGACCGACUAAUUUUGAGAGAAAAGCAUGUACUGGUCCAUUAAUUAAUUAGUUAGAGGCUAAGAGGUAAUAGCUGGUAAUUAAUAGCUACCUUGAUAAAACCUGAGUUCUGAAGUUAAUUAGGAACACUGAAAUGAUUUAAUCUUAUGCCUGCUUAAUUGAAUUUAAUUUCGAUUGUUAAAAUUGAUUGUCUUUAAUUUUUGUUAAUUUAUGUUAUUUUGAUUGAUUGCCUUUGAUUUUGUUUUUGGUAAUAUAAUAUUAGAUUACUACUAAUUAGCCUGAUUAGUGUAGAAUAUUAGUCUUGGUUCAAGUCAACCUCCCUUGGGUACGAUCGUAGGAAUAGAUCCCUAAGUGUUUCCUUGUAACAGUAUUCUAUAUUACAAUUUAACUCGUAUACUUGUUGGCACACUACAUUAUUAAUUGGCUCUUUAGCUGCGGUAUUUUCAACCCAGACGUUCGCACAGCUGGUCGCAGUCAUUUGGCCAAAUGUUGACAAUUGGACAUGAAGAGUUUAAGAUGUACACAUCAGUUGCAGGCUCCUUCGUGCGACCCAUGAAACUAGGGCAUGGGAACACCUAUAUCCAACAAACUCAUUGAAGUUAAUAAGACCUCCAUUGUUCGCACCGCUUUACUUAAAACUAUUUCUAUGUCACUUUUUCAAGAACGUAAGACAACUUAUAUGAAUUAGAGAAAAUAUUAAUAAGACCUUUGCUCAAAUUUUUAAAAAAAUAGUUGAAGUAUAUAUUUCCGGAAUUCAUGGCUUACAACAAUCAGGAAUGAAUUAACAUAUGAAAUGAUUAAUUCCUUUUUUUCACAUAAUUUUAUAGAAAAAAGGGAGAAGUUAAUGAUGUGCAGUUUCUAGUAGUGGUCAAUGAAAGAUGGGCGUUGUAUAGUGACUUCGACAUCGUUUUUGGUGUGAACAUCCUCUGUCAUAACCGUUUGAUGGUGGUGGGAGGCAAUUACCGCCUCCUAGUUUGCAUGGAACUUGAAGAUUUUUUCCCAGUCCCGGGUAGCUAAUUGGUGUCGCGUUUGCACCCUCUUCCAUCACCAUUGAGCUUAUUACCAAUGAACAAAUCCACAACACCAUGAUCUUCUUCUCCACUCCCAUUU
rnacentral:lncRNA from 1 species